rnacentral:lncRNA from 1 species
GGCACCUGUAUCCUGGCAGAAACCCGGACAUGGAGGGAAGGGAGCCCCAGAUAAUCCCUUCACCCAUCCACAAGGAAGGAGUCUUCACCAGCCCUGACGCCUAUGGUGGCCUAAGCCUAGCUCAUCCUGGAAGGCGGGGGGUCUUGCUGUAGCUGUCAGCGAGGACCAGUGCUCCACCUGCAAGCAGAGAAGCCCAGAGCAGCUCUGACUCUCAGACUGCUCCAUCCUUACUGGCUCCUUCUUGUCCAAGGAUGCACUGAAUGGAGCAGUUGCCACAAGUGCAGUAUGUACUGCUUCUUGAUUGUCAAGAGGCACCCCCAUUUUAUAGAGAGCAAAAGUGAGGCCGCCUGAAGCAGCCAAAUUUACGAAAGAAACAGUGGUGGCAGAACUGAUGCUUGGGGCCUGAACUGCAAAUGUGGAAUCCUCUGUGCAGGUCUGAUUGUCCCAAGUCAAGGCCAAUGUGGUAGAUGGAGAACAAAGGGGCAACUGAAAUGAGAAAGGGGGUGGGCAAGUGAUCGCAGGAAGAGGAGCCUCACUUUGGAAGGAUAAAGACAGAGAGGGGAUGAGAUCAGAAGCUAUGCGGUCAUGAAUACUACUUAAAGGCAAACGUGGCCUGGCUUCUCAAACCUCAGAACCCUUGAGAAGCGUGAGAGAAGUGAAGUCCCACCUCUUAACUGAACAAGACUCACUAACCCUGAGAGGUGAGAGGAUAAAUGGAUUCAGAAAAUGUUUAGAGCAACUCAUAGACGGGUGUGCCACAAAACUAGGUUUGUGAUUGGGGCAUAUUCCUGCUGCAUUAGUCAGGGUUCUCGAGAAGCAGAAGCAAUACAAUAAAUAUAGGCUGAGAAGCCCCACCAUCUGCCGUCUGCAAGCUGAAGACCCAGGGGAGCCACUGGCGUAAGUCCCAGUCCAAGUGUGAAGACCCAAGAACCAGGGGUGCCGAUGGACAGGAGGAGAUGGAUGUCAGCUCAAGGAGAGAGCAAAUUCACCCUUCCUGCACUUUUUUUGUUCUAUUCAGGCCUUCAGUGGAUUGGAUGAUGACCACCCACAUUGGCCUUACUUCAGCUGCUUCUCCGAGUUCCUGUUAACUUUAAGGAGCUUCCAGCUAAGCUCUUUGCUGGCCCUCCAAAGCCUUUGAGAAUCGGAGAAAGCUCCUGCAGGUGGGUCUCAGCAGACAGCACGGAGGAGACCAGGGCCUACUCACUAUGGUUUGCUGGUGCGUCAGGAAUUUAGGAGUUUGAAUUAUUUGAAGUGGCAAGAAUAAAGGAAGAUGGAAUUUUCCUAAAUACAUAGCUGGAGGCUUUUUAAGUUUUUAUAAGUAGGGAGGCCAUAGUAGUGGUUCUCAAACUUCAGAGAGCUUAAGAACCGCCUGGCCUGGCUGCUUGUUAGAAAUGCAGAUUCUUAGUGUUAAACCCCCAG